GUAAUAUUUUAGAAUAUGUAUUUUAGAUAUGUUUAGGGUGCGUAAACAAUGGAUUUUUAGCGUAGUGUGGUGCAUAGAUGUGGAUUUUAAAAAAAAUGGUACUUCUAGUAUAUCUAACAAUUAGUGCUGUUUUGGGACCUCUUCAUCUCAAACUUUAUUAAGGAUAUAGUACCCGGAGUAGGAGGUCAACGGAUUGGAUCAAGCUACAGAGACAGUGUAUUUCAUUCCUGUCUUAAGAAACCUUGUUGUCUAAACUAGAAACGAUUGUGUGGUGAAAAAUAGGACAUAACAGAUUGGAUCCAAAGGUAGGAUGGUUUAAAUUUGAUGAAUGAACUGUUUUUGCAUUCAAAUAAUUGGACUAAUUUCUGGCUGUUUCUAGUACCUGCUUUAUUCAUUUAUUUAUUCAUCAACAAGGUGAGAUGGCUGAAAAUAUUUAAAAAUAAGUAUGUACGUAAUUCUUUGUUUGAAACAUUCUGGUAACUGUUUAAACGGUUCUGUAAAGUUGAAAAUAAGGUUUAUUACUUUCAAUAUAUAUAUACUACAGUAGAAGUAUAUAAUUGUUAUAAAGUAAUUAAAAUACUUGUUUUUAAAUAGGCUUUACAAUACCAAGGUUCUUGGUGUAUGAGUUCUUUUACACUAAUAAAGAAUCUUGCAAAACUUAAGAUAAGAUUUUAAAGAUUUCAGCUUGUAAUGAUUUUACUUCAUUUGAUUUGCUAAUUAUUGAUAAUAUGCAUAACAAAAUUAUAAAUGGUUGUUGGAAUUAAUACUAAAAUUAAAUAAUUAUAUGUGUGCUAGGUACAAAGAAGAAUCAUGAAAGUGACUGAAUACUCUUUAAUAAGUUUUCAUCUUACAGGAUAAAAACUUCGGAUGCCAUUAAGUUAAGGAGUCUUGGUUGUUUCAGUCUUCAUUCGCUUCAGAAAGUAGCUGUAUCUAUGUUCCCAAAGAAAGCAUGAAAAUGCCUUUUUCCCAUUGGAAAUUGUUUGUUACAAAAAGGAAAAGUUUAUGAGAAUCAAUUGAUUAUUCAUGAGGAGGAAUUACAGUUAAUUGAAACAACCGAUGCUUUUGACGCAAGGGAAAGACAACUGGAAAUGAAUUUGGAAACCACCAAAACAACAGAUCGUCUGCCGUGGUAUCCCUCCUGGAUUUGGCUUGUGCAUUACACUUAUGGGCUUUACAUCACUGAAACAUGUUUUCUGCUAUGAUAUUCCUUCUGGAUUUAGUUUGCUUUUCACACAUGCAAACUUGGGAACUUUACAGUAGUCUACUGUUUACUAAGAUCGACGUUGGAGAAGACAAAGAUGACCCAGUAGUUGAAA